UACGAAGGGGGCUAGCGUUGCUCGGAAUCACUGGGCGUAAAGCGCACGUAGGCGGCUUACUAAGUCAGGGGUGAAAUCCUGGAGCUCAACUCCAGAACUGCCUUUGAUACUGGUAAGCUCGAGUCCGGGAGAGGUGAGUGGAACUGCGAGUGUAGAGGUGAAAUUCAUAGAUAUUCGCAAGAACACCAGUGGCGAAGGCGGCUCACUGGCCCGGUACUGACGCUGAGGUGCGAAAGCGUGGGGAGCAAACAGG
rnacentral:rRNA from 1 species